CAUGAUUAUUAAGGGUAUGGGUAGAAAACAUGUUUGUAGGAUUUUACUUACCUAUUUGCGCAAUAGAAAUCAUGUCUAGGACAUGCAUUUUACAUGUAGGAAUCCUGCUCUUAGGUCUCUUACUUUCAUCUUGUUAUUUUUACGACCAUAAUCAGUUAAUAAUCAAGUUACUACCAUUGCAUAUAGAUACAAUGGUUUAGGGCAUUUAUAUACAUUAGAU
rnacentral:lncRNA from 1 species